ensembl:lncRNA
AUCUUAACAAGGUUAGGUCUUCCAAUCUGUGAAUAUGGGCUGUCUUUCCAUUUAGGUAGACUGGCUUUGGCGCUCAUCAGAUUUAAGAAUACUCCAGUUGCUGAAUGAGAGGAGGGAGAAUGGACCCAGUGAAUUUGAACUUAACACCAUGACACCAAUCACUGUUCUAAACCAGAGACAGUGGGUAAGCACAUGGACCAUACGUGAAAGAGCACAGAGGAGUGGAGACCUAGAGGCGAGCAUGGGAGAUAAGGAAGCAGGCAUGGGAACAGACCAUGUGGAACCUUCUAGUCAACUGCAGGAACCUUAGCUGAGGACAAGGAAAGCCACUGUUGCAGUUGAUCGGAGAAGGCAAUGGCAACCCAUUCCAGUACUCUUGCCUGGAAAAUCCCAUGGAUGGAGGAGCCUGGUAGACUGCAGUCCAUGGGGUUGCUAAGAGUCGGACAAACUGAGCGACUUCACUUUCACUUUUCACUUUCAUGCAUUGGAGAAGGAAAUGGCAACCCACU